UACAGAGGGUGCAAACGUUGCUCGGAAUUAUUGGGCGUAAAGCGCACGUAGGCGGUCCUGUAAGUCAGGAGUGAAAGCCCUCGGCUUAACCGGGGAAGUGCUUUUGAAACUGCAAGACUUGAAUACUGGAGAGGAUCGCGGAAUUCCCGGUGUAGAGGUGAAAUUCGUAGAUAUCGGGAGGAACACCAUUGGCGAAGGCGGCGAUCUGGACAGAUAUUGACGCUGAGGUGCGAAAGCGUGGGGAGCAAACAGG
rnacentral:rRNA from 1 species